rnacentral:rRNA from 1 species
CGCGUAGGUGGCCAAUUAAGUCAAAUGUGAAAUCCCCGAGCUUAACUUGGGAAUUGCAUUCGAUACUGGUUGGCUAGAGUAUGGGAGAGGGUGGUAGAAUUCCAGGUGUAGCGGUGAAAUGCGUAGAGAUCUGGAGGAAUACCGAUGGCGAAGGCAGCCAUCUGGCCUAAUACUGACACUGAGGUGCGAAAGCAUGGGGAGCAAACA